rnacentral:rRNA from 1 species
UACGAAGGGGGCUAGCGUUGCUCGGAAUUACUGGGCGUAAAGCGCACGUAGGCGGAUCGUUAAGUCGGGGGUGAAAUCCUGGAGCUCAACUCCAGAACUGCCUUCGAUACUGGCGAUCUCGAGUCCGGAAGAGGUGAGUGGAACUCCUAGUGUAGAGGUGGAAUUCGUAGAUAUUAGGAAGAACACCAGUGGCGAAGGCGACUCACUGGUCCGGUACUGACGCUGAGGUGCGAAAGCGUGGGGAGCAAACAGG